CGGGACACGUGGUAUCCUGUCUGAAUAUGGGGGGACCAUCCUCCAAGGCUAAAUACUCCUGACUGACCGAUAGUGAACCAGUACCGUGAGGGAAAGGCGAAAAGAACCCCGGCGAGGGGAGUGAAAAAGAACCUGAAACCGUGUACGUACAAGCAGUGGGAGCACGCUUAGGCGUGUGACUGCGUACCUUUUGUAUAAUGGGUCAGCGACUUAUAUUCUGUAGCAAGGUUAACCGAAUAGGGGAGCCGAAGGGAAACCGAGUCUUAACUGGGCGUUAAGUUGCAGGGUAUAGACCCGAAACCCGGUGAUCUAGCCAUGGGCAGGUUGAAGGUUGGGUAACACUAACUGGAGGACCGAACCGACUAAUGUUGAAAAAUUAGCGGAUGACUUGUGGCUGGGGGUGAAAGGCCAAUCAAACCGGGAGAUAGCUGGUUCUCCCCGAAAGCUAUUUAGGUAGCGCCUCGUGAAUUCAUCUCCGGGGGUAGAGCACUGUUUCGGCAAGGGGGUCAUCCCGACUUACCAACCCGAUGCAAACUGCGAAUACCGGAGAAUGUUAUCACGGGAGACACACGGCGGGUGCUAACGUCCGUCGUGAAGAGGGAAACAACCCAGACCGCCAGCUAAGGUCCCAAAGUCAUGGUUAAGUGGGAAACGAUGUGGGAAGGCCCAGACAGCCAGGAUGUUGGCUUAGAAGCAGCCAUCAUUUAAAGAAAGCGUAAUAGCUCACUGGUCGAGUCGGCCUGCGCGGAAGAUGUAACGGGGCUAAACCAUGCACCGAAGCUGCGGCAGCGACGCUGAUGCGUUGUUGGGUAGGGGAGCGUUCUGUAAGCCUGUGAAGGUGUGCUGUGAGGCAUGCUGGAGGUAUCAGAAGUGCGAAUGCUGACAUAAGUAACGAUAAAGCGGGUGAAAAGCCCGCUCGCCGGAAGACCAAGGGUUCCUGUCCAACGUUAAUCGGGGCAGGGUGAGUCGACCCCUAAGGCGAGGCCGAAAGGCGUAGUCGAUGGGAAACAGGUUAAUAUUCCUGUACUUGGUGUUACUGCGAAGGGGGGACGGAGAAGGCUAUGUUGGCCGGGCGACGGUUGUCCCGGUUUAAGCGUGUAGGCUGGUUUUCCAGGCAAAUCCGGAAAAUCAAGGCUGAGGCGUGAUGACGAGGCACUACGGUGCUGAAGCAACAAAUGCCCUGCUUCCAGGAAAAGCCUCUAAGCAUCAGGUAACAUCAAAUCGUACCCCAAACCGACACAGGUGGUCAGGUAGAGAAUACCAAGGCGCUUGAGAGAACUCGGGUGAAGGAACUAGGCAAAAUGGUGCCGUAACUUCGGGAGAAGGCACGCUGAUAUGUAGGUGAAGCGACUUGCUCGUGGAGCUGAAAUCAGUCGAAGAUACCAGCUGGCUGCAACUGUUUAUUAAAAACACAGCACUGUGCAAACACGAAAGUGGACGUAUACGGUGUGACGCCUGCCCGGUGCCGGAAGGUUAAUUGAUGGGGUCAGCGCAAGCGAAGCUCUUGAUCGAAGCCCCGGUAAACGGCGGCCGUAACUAUAACGGUCCUAAGGUAGCGAAAUUCCUUGUCGGGUAAGUUCCGACCUGCACGAAUGGCGUAAUGAUGGCCAGGCUGUCUCCACCCGAGACUCAGUGAAAUUGAACUCGCUGUGAAGAUGCAGUGUACCCGCGGCAAGACGGAAAGACCCCGUGAACCUUUACUAUAGCUUGACACUGAACAUUGAGCCUUGAUGUGUAGGAUAGGUGGGAGGCUUUGAAGUGUGGACGCCAGUCUGCAUGGAGCCGGCCUUGAAAUACCACCCUUUAAUGUUUGAUGUUCUAACGUUGACCCGUGAUCCGGGUUGCGGACAGUGUCUGGUGGGUAGUUUGACUGGGGCGGUCUCCUCCUAAAGAGUAACGGAGGAGCACGAAGGUUGGCUAAUCCUGGUCGGACAUCAGGAGGUUAGUGCAAUGGCAUAAGCCAGCUUGACUGCGAGCGUGACGGCGCGAGCAGGUGCGAAAGCAGGUCAUAGUGAUCCGGUGGUUCUGAAUGGAAGGGCCAUCGCUCAACGGAUAAAAGGUACUCCGGGGAUAACAGGCUGAUACCGCCCAAGAGUUCAUAUCGACGGCGGUGUUUGGCACCUCGAUGUCGGCUCAUCACAUCCUGGGGCUGAAGUAGGUCCCAAGGGUAUGGCUGUUCGCCAUUUAAAGUGGUACGCGAGCUGGGUUUAGAACGUCGUGAGACAGUUCGGUCCCUAUCUGCCGUGGGCGCUGGAGAACUGAGGGGGGCUGCUCCUAGUACGAGAGGACCGGAGUGGACGCAUCACUGGUGUUCGGGUUGUCAUGCCAAUGGCACUGCCCGGUAGCUAAAUGCGGAAGAGAUAAGUGCUGAAAGCAUCUAAGCACGAAACUUGCCCCGAGAUGAGUUCUCCCUGA
rnacentral:rRNA from 1 species